AGCUCGGAGUUUCUCUUCAUUUAUGCAUAAAAUCUUUAGCCUUUUACUAAAGAGUUCCGUGGAGGGAGCUUUUCUGACGAGUGACCUGUAUUUUUGGGGCUCUGCUCACAGCAGAGC
ensembl:snRNA U5 U5 spliceosomal RNA